rnacentral:rRNA from 1 species
UAAACUAGGAUUAGAUACCCUAUUAUAUUUAAAAGUAAAAAUAUAGACUUGAAUAUUAAUAGUUAUCUUCUUUAAAAUCAAAGAAUUUGGCGGUAAUUUAGUCUUGUUAGAGGAACCUGUUUUAUAAACGAUAAAUCACGCAAUAUCUUACUUAUUUUUGUAAUAAAUUUCAGUUUGUAUACCUUCAUUAUUAAAUAAUUUUGAAAAAAAAUAAUUAUUGGAAUUGAUAAUUAAUUUAAGAAUAUUAGAUCAAGGUGCAGCUUAUAAAUAAGUAAAAAUGGGUUACAAUAAUAUAUAAUUAUACGGAUAAUAAAAAGAAUAAUUUAUUUAAAGGUGGAUUUAAUUGUAAAAGUGUUUUAAUAAGUCUCUUUGAUAUUAGCUCUAAGUUAUGUACAUAUCGCCCGUCACUUUCAUUUAAAAUGAAAUAAGUC